UGCUAGUUGCGCGGGUUCAGCCCCGCAGCGAAAAGCUCAGUAACACGUGGCCAAGCUACCCUGUGGACGGGAAUAAUCUCGGGAAACUGAGGCUAAUCCCCGAUAACGCUUCACCCCUGGAAGGAGUGAAGCCGGAAACGCUCCGGCGCCACAGGAUGCGGCUGCGGUCGAUUAGGUAGACGGUGGGGUAACGGCCCACCGUGCCCAUAAUCGGUACGGGUUGUGAGAGCAAGAGCCCGGAGACGGAAUCUGAGACAAGAUUCCGGGCCCUACGGGGCGCAGCAGGCGCGAAACCUUUACACUGUACGCAAGUGCGAUAAGGGGACUCCGAGUGUGAAGGCAUAGAGCCUUCACUUUUGUACACCCUAAGGUGGUGUACGAAUAAGGACUGGGCAAGACCGGUGCCAGCCGCCGCGGUAAUACCGGCAGUCCGAGUGAUGGCCGAUCUUAUUGGGCCUAAAGCGUCCGUAGCUGGCUAGACAAGUCCGUUGGGAAAUCUGUCCGCUUAACGGGCAGGCGUCCAGCGGAAACUGUCUAGCUUGGGACCGGAAGACCUGAGGGGUACGUCUGGGGUAGGAGUGAAAUCCUGUAAUCCUGGACGGACCGCCGGUGGCGAAAGCGCCUCAGGAGAACGGAUCCGACAGUGAGGGACGAAAGCUAGGGUCUCGAACCGGAUUAGAUACCCGGGUAGUCCUAGCUGUAAACGAUGUCCGCUAGGUGUGGGCGCAGGCUAAGAGCCUGCGCUGUGCCGUAGGGAAGCCGAGAAGCGGACCGCCUGGGAAGUACGUCUGCAAGGAUGAAACUUAAAGGAAUUGGCGGGGGAGCACUACAACCGGAGGAGCCUGCAGUUUAAUUGGACUCAACGCCGGACAUCUCACCAGCCCCGACAGUAGUCAUGACGGUCAGGUUGAUGACCUUACCCGACGCUACUGAGAGGAGGUGCAUGGCCGCCGUCAGCUCGUACCGUGAGGCGUCCUGUUAAGUCAGGCAAC
rnacentral:rRNA from 1 species